rnacentral:rRNA from 1 species
UACGUAGGGGGCAAGCGUUGUCCGGAUUUAUUGGGCGUAAAGAGCGUGUAGGCGGCCCGACAGGUCCGUUGUGAAAACUCGAGGCUCAACCUCGAGACGUCGAUGGAAACCGUCGGGCUAGAGUCCGGAAGAGGAGAGUGGAAUUCCUGGUGUAGCGGUGAAAUGCGCAGAUAUCAGGAGGAACACCAAUGGCGAAGGCAGCUCGCUGGGACGGUACUGACGCUGAGGCGCGAAAGCGUGGGGAGCAAACAGG